CAUUAACGCUGGCCUCGUGCCUAAUACAUGCAAGUCUAGCGAACAGACUAGGAGCUUGCUCCUCUUACGUUAGCGGCUGACGGAGUAGGAACACGUGGAGAACCUACCUAUAAGACUGGGAUAAAUUCUUGAGACCGAGGCUAAUACCGUAUAAUAUUUUUAACCCCAUUGUUCAAUAGUGAAACAGGGUUUUGCUGUCACUUAUAGAUAGAUCCUCGCGGCCUUAGCUCGUUGGUAAGGUAACGGCGUACCAUGGCGACGAUGCGUAGCCGACAUGAGAGGGUGAGUGGACACACUGGACAGGAGACACGGUACAGACUCCUGCGGGAGGCAGCAGUAGGGAAUCUUCCGCGAUGGGCGAAAGCCUGACGGAGCAACGCCGCGUGAGUGAUGAAGGUCUUAGGAUCGUAAAACUCUGUUAUUAGGGAAGAACAAAUGUGUAAGUAACUAUGCACGCCUUGAUGGUACCUAAUCAGAAAGCCACGGCUAACUACGUG
rnacentral:rRNA from 1 species